GCUGGGCAUGGUGACUCGUGCCUGUAACCCAAGUGGGAGUAAUAAAAUGUGUGGAAGGUGUCACCGUGGGAGGGUGUUGAUGUUCUGGAGGGACACGGGUCAGCAUGAAGGGAGUGUCCUGAGUCUGCCUAGGGUUCCGUUACAGGUGUUCCGAAUCAGGCGAUGGAUUCAAUUGUUGUCUUAGCAGAGCAGCGCCCAGUUUGGUGCCCUUUGUUGUUCCUCCAAAACACCAAUAUCAGCAGACAUCAACCCUCAUUUUU
rnacentral:SRP_RNA from 1 species